AGAGUUUGAUCCUGGCUCAGGAUGAACGCUGGCGGCGUGCCUAACACAUGCAAGUCGAACGGGGAGGCCACUCUGGUGGUUUUCCAGUGGCGCACGGGUGCGGAACACGUAGCCAACCUGCCCUCCAGCGGGGGAUAACGUCCCGAAAGGGAUGCUAAUACCGCAUACGCUCGCGGGCUGUAGAGGCGGGCGAGGAAAGCCGACAGGCGCUGGAGGAGGGGGCUGCGGCCCAUCAGCUGGAUGGUGGGGUAACGGCUCACCAUGGCGACGACGGGUCGGGGGUCUGAGAGGAUGAUCCCCCACACUGGGACUGAGACACGGCCCAGACUCCUACGGAAGGCAGCAGUGAGGAAUCUUGCACAAUGGGGGCAACCCUGAUGCAGCGACGCCGCGUGGGUGGGGAAGGCCUUCGGGUCGUAAAGCCCUUUUCUGCGUGACGAGGGUGGACGGUAGCGCAGGAAGAAGCGUCGGCUAACUACGUGCCAGCAGCCGCGGUAAAACGUAGGACGCGAGCGUUAUCCGGAGUUACUGGGCGUAAAGGGCGUGCAGGCGGUCGAGCAAGUGGCUCGCGAAAGCCUUCGGCUUAACCGGGGGAGGACGGGUCAGACUGCUGGACUGGAGGGCGCUAGAGGGACACGGAAUUCCGGGUGUAGUGGUGAAAUGCGUAGAGAUCCGGAGGAACACCAGUGGCGCAGGCGGUGUCCUGGGGCGCACCUGACGCUGAGACGCGACAGCAUGGGGAGCGAACGGGAUUAGAAACCCCGGUAGUCCAUGCCGUAAACGAUGCCGACUAGGGGUUCGC
rnacentral:rRNA from 1 species